rnacentral:precursor_RNA from 13 species
GAUUUCAGCUGACCUGGCGCACGGUGUGAGCUGGUCACAUGAGGUGCAGUGUGAUAGUGGAAGACACUGCAUACCAUGUGAUCUCGCUACACGGUGCAGUGUCCCUCCGCCCGGAGAU